rnacentral:rRNA from 1 species
GAUGAACGCUGGCGGCGUGCCUAAUACAUGCAAGUCGAGCGAACAGACGAGGAGCUUGCUCCUCUGACGUUAGCGGCGGACGGGUGAGUAACACGUGGAUAACCUACCUAUAAGACUGGGAUAACUUCGGGAAACCGGAGCUAAUACCGGAUAAUAUAUUGAACCGCAUGGUUCAACAGUGAAAGUCGGUUUUGCUGUCUCUUCUCGAUGGAUCCGCGCCGCAUUAGCUAGUUGGUAAGUUAACGGCUUACCAAGGCGACGAUGCGUAGCCGAGCUGAGAGGGGGAUCGCCCGCACUGGAACGUAGACACGGUCCAGACUCCUACGGGAGGCAGCAGUAGGGAAUCUUCCGCAAUGGGCGAAAGCCUGACGGAGCAACGCCGCGUGAGUGAUGAAGGUCUUCGGAUCGUAAAACUCUGUUAUGAGGGAAGAACAAAUGUGUAAGUAACUAUGCACGUCUUGACGGUACCUAAUCAGAAAGCCACGGCUAACUACGUG